CUGCUGCUGUUUGAUGCUUUCUGAUGAGGUAGUACAUUUGGUAGGAGAAAGAUCCUUCCUGUUUUUGACCACUGUGCCUCAGGCAUGGUUUUCCAAACUAGUGUUUGCUGUUUCCCCAUAAUUUUUCCAUAUCUAUAUAUCACCUGUAUAGUGAUUCUCUUCAUUGCUUUUCAUUUAAGUCCAUUUACUUUUUUUAAAAAAAUUAAUAGGAAAGCUUUCAAACAAAUGAUAUGUGGGUAGGUAAUAUCAGCUCCUAGAAUAAGAAAAUGAGAAAAUAGAUAGGGCAAGCACAUAAGGCAAAAUGUUGAUAAUCGUUGAAUCUAAGCAGUGAGUAUAUGGGUGUUUAUUAUAUUCCCCUAACUUUAUCCAUUUGAAAUUUUUCAUAAUAAAGUUGGAAAAAUUAAAGGAAACUUUAUCACUAUAAGUGAGAAUUCAGAUCCUCCGCCAUGAAUAAAAGAUUACUGUGAAAAUGAAUAUAUUAUAAACAAAAUAACACAUUUAAAUUCUAGCUGGAUUCUUUUUCCUGGUCAAGUCUCUAAGACUUUCUACUUAGGAAAAAUUUAAAAGGAAUUGCAAAGGGAAGCAGUAUCUCCCUGGGAGAUGCAAGCUGUUGGCCACCUUGCUGGAUACACCUACACUGUUCCCCUGUGGGACCUGCCAUGCUGAGGACCUGUUCUCACCUCUCAGGUGCUCCUGUCCCAGGAUUAACGUGGAGCCUGGGCCAUGAUGCAGUUGGCUCCCACCCCAGCCAUGGAUGAGGUCACCUUUAGAAGUGACACUGUGCUGUCAGACGUCCACCUCUAUACCCCGAACCACAGACACCUCAUGGUGCGGCUGAACAGCGUGGGACAACCCGGGAUAGGACCUGAUCCUGGGAACACACAGUUGGUGGAGCCAAGCUCUGUCCUCAGCAAGCCCAGGGACCAGCGUGUGGGCAGACAGCGCUGGGGCUCCAGCUGUCCACUGUUCUGCAUCCCCUUCCCCUGUCUGGCCACCUCCGAUUGCCUGCCUACUUGUGUCUUCUCCUCCUGGGACUCCCUGCUCCACACUCUCCGCAGCAGCCAAGGAGAUCUUUUGGAAAUGCACGUCAAAUCACAGCACUCCCUACUGGGGACCUCCCAUUACUUCCCCUUGCUCUCAGAAUAACAUCCAGAUUUCCCACGUUGGCCUGCAGGACCCAGCCUGACACAGCCUCUGCCUGGGUGUCUCCCCUUACAUCACCCUCCCUCACUGGUCUGUGGCCACUGUCACCUCCUCCCUGUCCCUCAGUCACUGCACUUGCUUUCUUCCCUCCCAGCCCCAGUUCCCCAAGUGUCAUCUCAGACAAGCCCUGCCUGACCACCCUCCUGAUUCCUAUUACCCUGUAUUAGCUCGUCAUCCUGGUGUGAUUAUUAAUGCUUCCAGUUUCCCUUCCAUCCUAAUUGGGAUGAUACAUUUUACCAAGAGUCUAUAAACUGUAGGCUGUGGGGUAAAUCUGACCUGCAGCUUGUUUUGUAAAUAAAAUUGUAUUAAGA